rnacentral:tRNA from 1 species
ACUCAACAGGUGAGUGGAUAACGUGAUGGCUUUUCAAGCGAACGGUACUGGGUUCGAGUCCCGGAUUGAAU